rnacentral:rRNA from 1 species
UAACGCGUGAGGAACCUGCCUUCCAGAGGGGGACAACAGUUGGAAACGACUGCUAAUACCGCAUGACACAUUUGAAUCGCAUGGUUUGAAUGUCAAAGAUUUAUCGCUGGAAGAUGGCCUCGCGUCUGAUUAGCUAGUUGGUAGGGUAACGGCCUACCAAGGCGACGAUCAGUAGCCGGACUGAGAGGUUGACCGGCCACAUUGGGACUGAGAUACGGCCCAGACUCCUACGGAAGGCAGCAG